rnacentral:rRNA from 1 species
AUUGAACGCUGGCGGCAGGCCUAACACAUACAAGUCGAGCGGAUGAAGGGAGCUUGCUCCUGGAUUCAGCGGCGGACGGGUGAGUAAUGCCUAGGAAUCUGCCUGGUAGUGGGGGAUAACGUCCGGAAACGGGCGCUAAUACCGCAUACGUCCUGAGGGAGAAAGUGGGGGAUCUUCGGACCUCACGCUAUCAGAUGAGCCUAGGUCGGAUUAGCUAGUUGGUGGGGUAAAGGCCUACCAAGGCGACGAUCCGUAACUGGUCUGAGAGGAUGAUCAGUCACACUGGAACUGAGACACGGUCCAGACCCCUACGGGAGGCAGCAGUGGGGAAUAUUGGACAAUGGGCGAAAGCCUGAUCCAGCCAUGCCGCGUGUGUGAAGAAGGUCUUCGGAUUGUAAAGCACUUUAAGUUGGGAGGAAGGGCAGUAAGUUAAUACCUUGCUGUUUUGACGUUACCAACAGAAUAAGCACCGGCUAACUUCGU